rnacentral:rRNA from 1 species
UACGUAGGGUGCAAGCGUUGUCCGGAAUCACUGGGCUUAAAGGGCGCGUAGGCGGGCUGCCAAGUUUGGGGUGAAAUCCUCCGGCUCAACCGGGGAAGUGCCUUGAAUACUGGCGGUCUGGAGGGAGGUAGGGGCGUGCGGAACUGUAGGUGGAGCGGUGAAAUGCGUUGAUAUCUACAGGAACUCCGGUGGCGAAGGCGGCACGCUGGACCUUUUCUGACGCUGAGGCGCGAAAGCCAGGGGAGCGAACGGG